CCUACGGGUGGCAGCAGUGGGGAAUAUUGCACAAUGGGGGAAACCCUGAUGCAGCAACGCCGCGUGAGUGAAGAAGUAUUUCGGUAUGUAAAGCUCUAUCAGCAGGGAAGAAAAUGACAGUACCUGACUAAGAAGCCCCGGCUAACUACGUGCCAGCAGCCGCGGUAAUACGUAGGGGGCAAGCGUUAUCCGGAUUUACUGGGUGUAAAGGGAGCGUAGACGGCUGCGCAAGUCAGAAGUGAAAGCCCGGGGCUCAACCGCGGGACUGCUUUUGAAACUGUAUAGCUAGAGUGCAGGAGAGGUAAGUGGAAUUCCUAGUGUAGCGGUGGAAUGCGUAGAUAUUAGGAGGAACACCGGUGGCGAAGGCGGCUUACUGGACUGUAACUGACGUUGAGGCUCGAAAGCGUGGGGAGCGAACAGGAUUAGAUACCCGAGUAGUC
rnacentral:rRNA from 1 species